AGCGAACGCUGGCGGCAGGCUUAACACAUGCAAGUCGAGCGGGCAUCUUCGGAUGUCAGCGGCAGACGGGUGAGUAACACGUGGGAACGUACCCUUCGGUUCGGAACAACUCUGGGAAACUGGAGCUAAUACCGGAUACGCCCUUAUGGGGAAAGGUUUACUGCCGAAGGAUCGGCCCGCGUCUGAUUAGCUAGUUGGUGGGGUAACGGCCUACCAAGGCGACGAUCAGUAGCUGGUCUGAGAGGAUGAUCAGCCACACUGGGACUGAGACACGGCCCAGACUCCUACGGGAGGCAGCAGUGGGGAAUAUUGGACAAGGGGCGCAAGCCUGAUCCAGCCAGGCCGCGUGAGUGAUGAAGGCCUUAGGGUUGUAAAGCUCUUUUGUCCGGGACGAUAAUGACGGUACCGGAAGAAUAAGCCCCGGCAAACUUCGU
rnacentral:rRNA from 1 species